rnacentral:lncRNA from 1 species
GAGAUGAAUGAGAAGAAAAAGAGAAGAAGAAGUGAAGAAGAAGGAUGAGGGAGGAGGAGGAUGAAGAGGAGGAUAAGGAACGGAGGUGGCAAUGAUUGAUGUGGAUGUGUCUGUUGAGAUUGUAGAGCACACAAUAUCUAUAUCACUCUGGUUUUUGAUGAUGACAACACAUUGUUUAAUAACACACAUAUGUUGUUGUGUUACAUGUUCUUAUGCUGAUU